rnacentral:rRNA from 1 species
AGACCCGAAACCCGGUGAUCUAGCCAUGGGCAGGUUGAAGGUUGGGUAACACUAACUGGAGGACCGAACCGACUAAUGUUGAAAAAUUAGCGGAUGACCUGUGGCUGGGGGUGAAAGGCCAAUCAAACCGGGAGAUAGCUGGUUCUCCCCGAAAGCUAUUUAGGUAGCGCCUCGUGAAUUCAUCUCCGGGGGUAGAGCACUGUUUCGGCUAGGGGGCCAUCCCGGCUUACCAACCCGAUGCAAACUGCGAAUACCGGAGAAUGUUAUCACGGGAGACACACGGCGGGUGCUAACGUCCGUCGUGAAGAGGGAAACAACCCAGACCGCCAGCUAAGGUCCCAAAGUCAUGGUUAAGUGGGAAACGAUGUGGGAAGGCCCAGACAGCCAGGAUGUUGGCUUAGAAGCAGCCAUCAUUUAAAGAAAGCGUAAUAGCUCACUGGUCGAGUCGGCCUGCGCGGAAGAUGUAACGGGGCUAAACCAUGCACCGAAGCUGCGGCAGCGAACGUAUCACCCAAGACAACUUUACGGAGUUGACGAUUGACGGAGCGAAGCGACGUCAAAGCGUUCAUUAAAGUCGAGUUGGCUUAGGGAUACGUUCGUUGGGUAGGGGAGCGUUCUGUAAGCCUGUGAAGGUGUGUCGUGAGGCAUGCUGGAGGUAUCAGAAGUGCGAAUGCUGACAUAAGUAACGAUAAAGCGGGUGAAAAGCCCGCUCGCCGGAAGACCAAGGGUUCCUGUCCAACGUUAAUCGGGGCAGGGUGAGUCGACCCCUAAGGCGAGGCCGAAAGGCGUAGUCGAUGGGAAACGGGUUAAUAUUCCCGUACUUGGUGUUACUGCGAAGGGGGGACGGAGAAGGCUAUGUUGGCCGGGCGACGGUUGUCCCGGUUUAAGCGUGUAGGUGUGUGUUCCAGGUAAAUCCGGUUCACUUUAACACUGAGGCGUGACGACGAGGCACUACGGUGCUGAAGCAACAAAUGCCCUGCUUCCAGGAAAAGCCUCUAAGCAUCAGGUAACACGAAAUCGUACCCCAAACCGACACAGGUGGUCAGGUAGAGAAUACCAAGGCGCUUGAGAGAACUCGGGUGAAGGAACUAGGCAAAAUGGUGCCGUAACUUCGGGAGAAGGCACGCUGACACGUAGGUGAAGUGAUUUACUCAUGGAGCUGAAGUCAGUCGAAGAUACCAGCUGGCUGCAACUGUUUAUUAAAAACACAGCACUGUGCAAACACGAAAGUGGACGUAUACGGUGUGACGCCUGCCCGGUGCCGGAAGGUUAAUUGAUGGGGUCAGCGCAAGCGAAGCUCCUGAUCGAAGCCCCGGUAAACGGCGGCCGUAACUAUAACGGUCCUAAGGUAGCGAAAUUCCUUGUCGGGUAAGUUCCGACCUGCACGAAUGGCGUAAUGAUGGCCAGGCUGUCUCCACCCGAGACUCAGUGAAAUUGAACUCGCUGUGAAGAUGCAGUGUACCCGCGGCAAGACGGAAAGACCCCGUGAACCUUUACUAUAGCUUGACA